rnacentral:tRNA from 1 species
ACCUGGCUGGCCCAGUCGGUGGAGCAUGGGACUCUUGAUCUCAGGGUCAUGAGUUCAAGCCCCAUGUUGAGUG